rnacentral:rRNA from 1 species
GUAGACACCUGGAAACAGAUGCUAAUACCGGAUAACAACAGAUGAUGCCUAUCAACUGUUUAAAAGAUGGUUCUGCUAUCACUCUUGGAUGGACCUGCGGUGCAUUAGCUAGUUGGUAGGGUAACGGCCUACCAAGGCGAUGAUGCAUAGCCGAGUUGAGAGACUGAUCGGCCACAUUGGGACUGAGACACGGCCCAAACUCCUACGGGAGGCAGCAGCC